UCAGCGUCUGGGACCUGAUGAAGUCUUGGUUGGAUGAUUAUUCAAGCCUGAUACCACUCGACACACCAAUGUUCAUGUCAAUGUAAUUUUUCAGAGCUGCACUAUUUACGUGUUGAUGCUUACUUCGGUGUUAGCGUGUUUCCCCCGGAUUGUUUCUAUCAUCAUGAUCGUGUGUUCUUGGGCUGAGCGAGCACAUGCACAAGUGUGCAGCUAUAACCCUGUGUAUCUUUGGUUACACUUUGUUCUGCAAUGCAUGUACUUGUAACAUUAUGUGCUUGCACUGCUUUGUCUGGCCUGCGUAUUUCAGGACUAUUCAGUGCAUUAGACCCAGGUUGGUUUGGUUGCCGGAUGAUCUCUUGUUGCGUCGCUCUGUGUUUUGUAUUCAUCAAUUUUUGGGCUUGAGAAUUGAGCUGUUGUGUGGUUCCCAAUAUGAAAACAUCAUGCUGGUGCUCUGUGUUUCGAUUAUCGACUGUCGGAGCAGUCAUGCAUUUAUUAGCAGAACGGUCAAUACUGUAGUCUUUUCA